AGAUUGAACGCUGGCGGCAGGCCUAACACAUGCAAGUCGAGCGCGAAAGUUCCUUCGGGAAUGAGUAGAGCGGCGGACGGGUGAGUAACGCGUAGGAAUUUGCCCAGUAGUGGGGGACAACUCGGGGAAACUCGAGCUAAUACCGCAUACGCCCCAAGGGGGAAAGCAGGGGAUCUUCGGACCUUGCGCUAUUGGAUAAGCCUGCGUCGGAUUAGCUAGUUGGUGGGGUAAGGCCUACCAAGGCAACGAUCCGUAGCUGGUCUGAGAGGAUGAUCAGCCACACUGGGACUGAGACACGGCCCAGACUCCGACGGGACGGCAG
rnacentral:rRNA from 1 species